rnacentral:rRNA from 1 species
AUUGAACGCUGGCGGCAGGCCUAACACAUGCAAGUCGAGCGGCAGCGGGAAAGUAGCUUGCUACUUUUGCCGGCGAGCGGCGGACGGGUGAGUAAUGCCUGGGAAAUUGCCCAGUCGAGGGGGAUAACAGUUGGAAACGGUAGCUAAUACCGCAUACGCCCUACGGGGGAAAGCAGGGGACCUUCGGGCCUUGCGCGAUUGGAUGAACCCAGGUGGGAUUAGCUAGUUGGUGAGGUAUGGCUCACCAAGGCGACGAUCCCUAGCUGGUCUGCGAGGAUGAUCAGCCACACUGGAACUGAGACACGGUACAGACUCCUACGGGAGGCAGCAGUGGGGAAUAUUGCACAAUGGGGGAAACCCUGAUGCAGCCAUGCCGCGUGUGUGAAGAAGGCCUUCGGGUUGUAAAGCACUUUCAGCGAGGAGGAAAGGUUGGUAGCUAAUAACUGCCAGCUGUGACGUUACUCGCAGAAGAAGCACCGGCUAACUCCGUGCCAGCAGCCGCCGUAAAAC